GAGUUCGAUUAUGGCUCAGAUUGAACGCUGGCGGGAUGCUUUUACAUGCAAGUCGAACGGCAGUACGGACUUCGGUCUGGUGGCGAGUGGCGAACGGGUGAGUAAUGUAUCGGAACGUGCCUAGUAGCGGGGGAUAACUACGCGAAAGGUAGCUAAUACCGCAUACGCCCUUCGGGGGAAAGCGGGGGACCUUCGGGCCUCGCACUAUUAGAGCGGCCGAUAUCGGAUUAGCGACAGGGGUAACGGCUCACCAAGGCGACGAUCCGUAGCUGGUUUGAGAGGACGACCAGCCACUGGGACCGGGGACACGGCCCAGACUCCUAGCCGGAGGCAGCAGUGGGGAAUUUUGGACAAUGGGGAAACCCUGAUCCAGCCAUCCCGCGUGUGCGAUGGAAGGGCCUUCGGGUUGUAAAGCACUUUUGGCAGGAAAGAAACGGCAUCGGGAUAAUACCCCUGUGUGCAACUGAUUUAAAAACGGUGAAUAAGCACCGGCUAACUACGUGCCAGCAGCUGCAGGCCGUAGGGUGCAAGCGUUAAUCGGAAUUACUGGGCGCAAGCGUGCGCAGGCGGCUCUGGAAAGAAAGACGGUGAAAUCCCAGAGCUUAACUUGGAACUGCAUUUUUAACUAACACGAGCCAGAGUGUGUCAGAGGGAGGUGGAAUUCGCGUAGCAGUGAAAUGCGCAGAUAUGCGGAGGGAACACCGAUGGCGAAGACAGCCCCUUGGGAUAACACCGACGCUCAUGCACGAAAGCGUGGGGAGCAAACAGGAUUAGAUAAUUCUGUAGUGUCCACGCCCUCUAAACGAUGUCAACUAGCUGUUGGGGCCUCGGGCUCCAGCGCAGCUAACGCGUGAAGUUGACCGCCUGGGGAGUACGGUCGCAAGAUUAAAACUCAAAGGAAUUGACGGGACCCCGCAAGCGGUGGAUGAUGUGGAUUGUCUGGAUGCAACGCGAAAACCCACGUACCUUUGAUAUGUCUGGAAUCCCGAAGAGAUUUGGGAGUGCUCGCAAGAGAACCGGAACACAGGUGCUGCAUGGCUGUCGUCAGCUCGUGUCGUGAGAUGUUGGGUUAAGUCCCGCAACGAGCGCAAACUCCUUGUCAUUAGUUGCUACGAAAGGGCACUCUAUCGAGACUGCCGGUGACAACCGGAGGAAGGUGGGGAUGACGUCAAGUCCUCAUGGCCCUGCGGGUAGGGCUCCACACGUCAUACAAUGGUCGGGACAGAGGGUCGCCAACCUGCUAUGAGGGGAGCCAAUCCCAGAAACCCGAUCGUAGUCCGAUCGCAGUCUGCAACCUCGACUGCGUGAAGUCGGAAUCGCUAGUAAUCGCGGAUCAGCAUGUCGCGGUGAAUACGUUCCCGGGCUUUGUACACACUCGCCCGUCACACCAUGGGAGUGGGUUUUACCAGAAGUAGUUAGCCUAACCGUAAGGAGGGCGAUUACCACGGUAGGAUUCAUGACUGGGUGAAGUCGUAACAAGGUAG
rnacentral:rRNA from 1 species